rnacentral:lncRNA from 1 species
CAAUGUCUUCUCUACCCAGUGAAUCUCUGACUCUACAAGUUUCCUUCCCAAGACACUGUGGUCCGGGGCUACCUCCCUUACAGCCUACAUGACAACAUGUGCAAAUUAUUUGUCAGCAUCUAAUUGCAAGAACGAGGAGGAAACCAAGGCACAGAGGUUAAACAACGUGUCCAAGCCACAUAGCAAGUAAACAAUUGAGCCAGGCUCCAAAUCCAAACGUUCUGGCGUCAGAGUCCUAUAAAGAUGUUUUUGGCCUAAUGUGAGGAAGUACUUUCUAAGAAUAAGAGUUUACCAAUUAAAAGGGGGUUGCUGUUUUAUGAAGAUAUUUAAACCAAGGCUGAGGGGCCAUUUUCAAGGGAUGCUGACUCGGUAAAAGUUCUUUGGCAGCAAGCAUCAGAAACCAAAUGUAACGACUUUAAGCUAAAAAAUAAAAAGAAGGAAGAGGAAGAAGAGAAGAUGGGGUUGAGGGAGGAGGACAGG